rnacentral:piRNA from 1 species
UGGUUUUCAAUCCCAAAACAGCAGAACUAGU